rnacentral:rRNA from 1 species
CAGCACCUCAAGUGGUCAGGAUGAUUAUUGGUCCUAAAGCAUCCGUAGCCGGCUCUGUAAGUUUUCGGUUAAAUCUGUACGCUCAACGUACAGGCUGCCGGGAAUACUGCAGAGCUAGGGAGUGGGAGAGGUAGACGGUACUCGGUAGGAAGGGGUAAAAUCCUUUGAUCUAUUGAUGACCACCUGUGGCGAAGGCGGUCUACCAGAACACGUCCGACGGUGAGGGAUGAAAGCUGGGGGAGCAAACCGGAUUAGAUACCCGAGUAGUCC